rnacentral:misc_RNA from 1 species
ACGAUGUAUGAUACAUGUGCAGGGAUGUACUACACCUCAGACUGUGCAGCGACACCAGACUCUCUACACCAGACUCAGCGACACCAGACUCUGUGAUUCCAGAAUCUCUACACCAGACUCUCUACACCAGACUCAGUGACACACAACGGCCAGAGGAGCAGUUCUGUUCACUUUCAUCCAGUCACUCUCACCGUCCUGCCAGACAUUGCUCCAGAUAUUGGGCAGACACGCCCGACUUGCCACAGACGUGCCACAGGCAGGUUGAAGAAUCAGCUCAUUCUCCAAACCGCAACUUCAGCUGCCUGGAGAAAGUCCACUCCAGAACAAAGGUCUGAAACAAGCUUAGACAAGCUUAGACAAGCCAGCCAGACAAGCCAGACAAACGCCUAGUGCGACUCAGGUGAGACUCAGGUGAGCGCCAGCUCCUCUGCCCCUCUGCUCCUCUGCUUCUCUGCUUCUCUGCUCCUCUGCUCCUCGCCCUCUCGGCUCCUCCGCAUCGGUCCACGCACGUCUACAGGGUAGGUUUACUUCCGGGAACCUAAUGAGCCAGGGAGGUUGGACUUGCUCGAAGAAACAAACGUCACCAGUUGGUGGCCGGAAACGUCGGGCACGUCAGCGAAAGACGGGCGGGGUAAGUCGACGAAGCCCUGUCGAUUCGUGCAGUCGAGCCUGCGCGGCGCGGACACCGGCUCUGCUGGCGCACUUUUUGGCCUCAGGUAUGGCCAGUAGGAGCAAGUGGAUGAUGAGAACGAGUGGCAGGCAUGUGAGAGCGAGAUACGGAAGAUGGCCGAGAAUUGGCCGGAAAGCUCCUGUUAAUGCACGGGACUCAACCGCCCUGGCCAAACGCUGAUCAACAAGGCCCACCUACAGUGGUACGAGUACAAGUACGAAAGUGGACAAAGUGGUGAGUUCGGUGGAGGUAUGUUAUCGACGCCGGGAAAUGGACACGUAAGAAGAUGCAGUUGGACUCUGCUGAUCUUAGCGAGAACUCUUCUUGUGACAGAAGCAACAUCUAAUGCUGCUCUAGACAUUGCCAUGUACAAUACGGUAGUCUUGAGAAGAUGAAAUGUGUUUCACUAGACAGAAAAAGUGAGUUUCGAACCGACAACUGGAAGUAAAAGACAAGGACAAAGUCGAACCCGAGAUCAUGAAUGCUCCACCAUUGUACGUAUCUACUUUAUGUACGUGCGUACUUUCCUGUAGUAUCAUGUAGUUGCUCCGCUUCGCUCCUAGUUCAUCACGUGACCAGCCACCUUGGCGGUUCCUUGUCAGUUCCUUGUCAGUUCCUUGUCAAUUCCUUGUCAGUUCUUGUCAGUUUCUUGUCAGCCCCUUGUCAGUUCCGCUUCACAACCCUCCUCGAAACGUGCUGUUCUAGACCCUUCUACUGGACUUCAGAUAUGCUCAAAAUAUGCAUAUAUGACACUAACGAGCGUUGAUCCGGCUGAAACCUUAAACUUCACUUUUGUGACCUUAAAAAUACAGAUGAGUACAACAGCUGAUAGACAGCGACACAGUGCCAUUACCGACAAAUAAAUCAAUGCGUUCGACUGGUCCAAUCUCCACAAACAUAAUGAUACUAAUUUCUAACUAUUUCGGGCAACUUCAAGAAAUGUCCAUUUUUUUCCCAUCUCCCACCCACCCACAACAUCCGCCUUGUCAUACCCACCACACUCGCAAUGUCACCCCACCCACAACUCCCACCAUGUCCCCGCAACUCCCACCAUAUCACCCCACAACUCCAAUGUCUCCUCAUUACAUGUCCCAUGUCAUUUAAGGCACCCACAACGUUCAAAGUCCUGCCCUGCAUCAUGGAACACAAAUACAGAAAUACUUUCCUGAUCACUGACUCCAUCUCUACAU